AAAAGGGCUAUGCAGGCCCAGACUGGAGCGUCUAAUGGACUUUGGGAACUACAACCGCUCCUCUAUGAGGAGGGAACCUACUUUCUUCUCAUGGAUACACGAGCUGUUCUGCGGAAUGCUGGUCCCCCAAGAAACAGAAGUCCAUUACGAAUGCCAGUGCUUACGACAUCUAACCAAUAAAACCUCUUUCCCUGUAAGCACGAUGGUAAAGGAGCACAUGGAAAGGACAAGCGCUCUUGGUCCAGCUGGAUGCUCUGAACCUUCUGGUGAGCACUGUGGUAAAGCUAAGUGAGUGUCUGCCAUGUCACUUGUACAGCCCGUCACAACGGAACCCCAGGUUUGAGAUGCAGACCUGUCAGCUCCUUCUGAAGCAAUGCCACCAUGCUUGUCAAGAUGGUAACAGACGAAACCUCUGAAACUAAAGGAAAUUGGCAGAAUGUUGGCUUAAAUAACCUGCUUACACGUACACAGUGGGGAACUGACAAAGCUUGAAUUUCAAUCGCAACAAUCUGAACCAUCAUUUAAAAUUGGAAUCUAGCAAAGUCAUAGAGCAUGAGUGAUGGUUGUUCCUGGUUGUCAACUUGACUACAUCUGGAAUGAACUACAAUCCAGAAAUGGAGGGCAUACCUGUGAUCCAGAUCUUGAGAGUGGAUGGCAUAAGCUCUGACAGGGGAUGACACACACUUUUGAUUCAGAUCUUGAGGCAAAGUGACCAUGCAAAGCUUAGGCCUAGACAGGAGUUGUUUCAAUCCCAGGAGACUGAGGCAAGGAGAUCUGAUUUCAAGGCCAGCUUGGGACUGUGAGCUCCAAAUCCAGGCAUGGUGGUACACACAUCUGGGCCAUACCUUCUGAAGCCUACAUAAGGACAUUAGAAGAAAGAAGACUCACUCUUCUUCGAAUGCUUGCACUUACUGGCCAUCAUAUCCAUUGGAACCUACUUCUUCAGGGGAGUCCAGUUUAAACAGAAGACCAGCUGAAACAGCCAACCUUGUGGGUCUGAACAACUACUAGACGCUUGGACUUCCCAUUCACAGCUGCCCAUUGUUGGGUUAGUUGGACUGCAGACUGUAAGUCAUUACAAUAAAUUCCCUUAUAU